rnacentral:misc_RNA from 1 species
GAUGGAACGCAGCAAAAUGCGAUAAGUAAUGUGAAUUGCAGAAUUCAGUGAAUCAUCGAAUCUUUGAACGCACAUUGCGCCCGCCAGUAUUCUGGCGGGCAUGCCUGUUCGAGCGUCAUUUCAACCCUCAAGCACAGCUUGGUGUUGGGACUCGCGUUAAUUCGCGUUCCCCAAAUUGAUUGGCGGUCACGUCGAGCUUCCAUAGCGUAGUAGUAAAACCCUCGUUACUGGUAAUCGUCGCGGCCACGCCGUUAAACCCCAACUUCUGAAUGUUGACCUCGGAUCAGGUAGGAAUACCCGCUGAACUUAAGCAUAUCAAUAAGCGGAGGA